UGGGGGAUAUUGCACAAUGGGGGGAACCCUGAUGCAGCGACGCCGCGUGGGUGAAGGAGUGCUUCGGCAUGUAAAGCCCUAUCGGCAGGGAAGAAGCAAGACGGGACCUGACUAAGAAGCCCCGGCUAACUACGUGCCAUCAGCCGCGGUAAUACGUAGGGGGCGAGCGUUAUCCGGAUUCACUGGGUGGAAAGGGAGCGUAGACGGCCAUGCAAGCCAGGGGUGAAAGCCCGGGGCCCAACCCCGGGACUGCCCUUGGAACUGCAUGGCUGGAGUGCGGGAGGGGCAGGCGGAAAUUCCUGGUGUAGCGGUGAAAUGCGUAGAUAUCAGGAGGAACACCGGCGGCGAAGGCGGCCUGCUGGACCGCGACUGACGUUGAGGCUCGAAAGCGUGGGGAGCGAACAGG
rnacentral:rRNA from 1 species